AACGAACGCUGGCGGCAUGCCUAACACAUGCAAGUCGAACGUGAUCCGGGACUUCGGUUUCGGUGAAAGUGGCGGACGGGUGAGUAACGCGUGGGAACCUGCCCAGUGGUAGGGGAUAACCGCGGGAAACUGCGGCUAAUACCCUAUGUGCCCUGCGGGGCAAAGAUUCAUCGCCAUUGGAGGGGCCCGCGUCGGAUUAGGUAGUUGGUGGGGUAACGGCCUACCAAGCCUUCGAUCCGUAGCUGGUCNGAGAGGAUGAUCAGCCACACUGGGACUGAGACACGGCCCAGACUCCUACGGGAGGCAGCAGUGGGGAGUA
rnacentral:rRNA from 1 species